rnacentral:lncRNA from 10 species
CUAGGCCAUGGCUAUCCUAUGGCUUAGCCCAGACUUCCAAGGAAAGCAAAGUCUCUUAUGAACACAUUGAGGGAAACUUCUAGCAAAUACCAGUGACCCGCAUGGCAUCCAUUGGAGCUGCCGUUUUUAGUAACUGGGCUCUCUGAGUGUUCUUACCCCAGCACUGGCUGGGAGGACCUGCAGCAAGGUCUUCCUGAGCAAAGGAACCAGCAGAGCCAGAGAGAACAGAACGCUACGGACAUUCCCCAGCUGGCCCUGGACACGUGCCUCUUCAGCUAAGGCCUCAACCAACCCUCGGAGGGCGUUCAGGGCAGGGGUCCUCCCAGCAUGCUGGCAUACCUUGGUCGUUGGCUUGUGACGUCUCUGACACGUUGACGGCUAGCUGGCUGCUGAAGGAGUUGACGCCCAUCAUGCCCGUGUGUGCAGGGUUGUUGCCCAGGGUGGGGAUCUGGUUGUGAUUGCGGGGAACGCUGUACAGCGCCUCGGCGAUGUCCGCCGCUCGCUUCAAGAUGAUCUCCUGCAGCAGGAGCAAGUGGGAGCCGGCCUGUCACCCCAGGCCCGGCCCAGCUGGCCGCACUCUCGGGGGCCCACCAUGGUGGCAUCCCACUGUCCCUUGCCCAGACCAUGACCAAAUCUAUUUCUUAAUGGGCAAAGAGCUUCCCCUAGAAAAUCAUUUACUGACGCUUUUGAAAGUGUGCAAUAUCUGGCUGGGCACGGUGGCUCACUCCUGUAAUCCCAGCAUUUUGGGAGGUCAAGGCAGGCGGAUCAUCUGAGGUCAGGAGUUCAAGACCAGCCUGGCCAACAUGGCGAAAUCCCAUCUCUAAUGAAAAUACAAAAAUUAGCCGGGUGUGUUGGCAAACGCCUGUAAUCCCAGCUACUCGGGAGCCUGAGGCAGGAGAAUCGCUUGAACCUGGGAGGUGGAGGUUGCAGUGAACCGACACUGCCCUACUGCACUCCAGCCUGGGUGACAGAGCAAGACCCUGUCUAAAAAAAAAAAAAAAAAAAGGGAGCAACAUUUGCUGUGUUCUGUCCUGCAUGCUGUGGGGCGCCCAUCCAGCCCUCCCUGGUUCCCAGCGGCACCAACACCGUCCACCCGCCACUGCACACUGCAGAUGGGUUUCAAGGCUGUGCACUCCCGCUGUGACAAGUUUUUUCUGCUUUUGGGUCCUGACACCAACUCAUCAUUUCUACGUGAACCUAGCGUGAGGGCAAGGAUGGGAAGCCAUUCUCACAUCAGACUCCUGUGGAGUCGCUGGAAAAGCAUGCUUAUGUCCAGAAAGCCCACACUGGAGCCACGCCGGCUGCCCACGGGUUCUGGCAUGGGGGGGAGGAUGGGCGAGGGGAGCCGCCCUCCACCUACCUGGUUGUUGUGAGGCAUUCCGUAUAAGGCUUCCACCAGGUCCGCCGCCCGCUUCAGUAACACCUCCUAAAGGAAGAGCAGACAGGAGGUGAUUCAUGGGAGGAACCGGCCAGUUAUCACUGCCCUUCAGUACCAGUUCCGUCUGCGGGUGUGGAGACCAGUCCCCACCCACAGCGACCCGUCCUGGCCCUGCCGUGCACUUCGAAGGCAGGCACAGACAGGAAGGCACGUGCGUGCUGACAACACUGUUUGUGGCCUUUACAAGGAGGCUGAAUAAAAGCGUUUUCUGUGGCUCCUCCAUCCGGUUGGGCUCACAGAGGUGCACGGACAAGCGGGAGGGCCGGCGGAGAACGAGCCCAAUCCGUGCCUGAGGUUUAAUGACGGAGUCUUAUGGGUAUUAAACAAAUACACACAUGGCGGAGAUAUGAAAGGCCCAGGCACCACAUUUGCCUGUUAAUUCCUAGCACUUUAGUGGUGAAGAACAAUAAGUAAUUUUCCAUAUCUUAAUUAAACUGGCAGAGUCCUUAAAGACAACAUCUCACCCCUAAUUCACGCCCCAAAUUUGCAAGUGAGUUCAGUGCUUAUUCCUCUUUAUUUUGAACAAUAAAGUGAAUUAACUUGGGUUAAUCUAGUUCUUUCAUAAUGACAUUAAGAAAUUUUUCAAUUAACCUCUUUGACUGCAUGUUGUAAAGGACUUCAUAAAUGCCUUCACAUUCCGAGAGUGUGCGCGCUGUGCCUGGGGG